rnacentral:tRNA from 1 species
UUGUAGCCUCGCUUACAAGGACCCCCCCCCUUUGCU